CAGUCGCCGCGGUAAUACGGAGGGGGCUAGCGUUGUUCGGAAUUACUGGGCGUAAAGCGCACGUAGGCGGCUUGGUAAGUCAGGGGUGAAAUCCCGGGGCUCAACCCCGGAACUGCCUUUGAUACUGGGAGUCUUGAGUUCGAGAGAGGUGAGUGGAAUUGCGAGUGUAGCGGUGAAAUGCGUAGAGAUCGGGAGGAACAUCAGUGGCGAAGGCGGCCAUCUGGGACAACACUGACGCUGAGGCACGAAAGCGUGGGGAGCAAACAGGAUUAGAUACCCGAGUAGUCCCUGUCUCUUAUAA
rnacentral:rRNA from 1 species